GAGCGGGUGUAGCAAUACAUCAGCGGCAGACGGGUGAGUAACGCGUGGGAACGUACCUUUUGGUUCGGAACAACCCCAGGGAAACUUGGGCUAAUACCGGAUAAGCCCUUACGGGGAAAGAUUUAUCGCCGAAAGAUCGGCCCGCGUCUGAUUAGCUAGUUGGUGAGGUAAUGGCUCACCAAGGCGACGACGGGUAGCCGGCCUGAGAGGGCGACCGGCCACACUGGGACUGAGACACGGCCCAGACUCCUACGGGAGGCAGCAGUGGGGAAUAUUGCGCAAUGGGCGAAAGCCUGACGCAGCGACGCCGCGUGGGGGAUGAAGGCCUUCGGGUUGUAAACCCCUUUCGACUGGGACGAAUGCCCGCAAGGGAGUGACGGUACCAGUAGAAGAAGCCCCGGCUAACUACGUG
rnacentral:rRNA from 1 species